rnacentral:rRNA from 1 species
UACGAAGGGGGCUAGCGUUGCUCGGAAUUACUGGGCGUAAAGCGCACGUAGGCGGCUUUCUAAGUCGGGGGUGAAAUCCUGGAGCUCAACUCCAGAACUGCCUUCGAUACUGGAGAGCUCGAGUCCGGGAGAGGUGAGUGGAACUGCGAGUGUAGAGGUGAAAUUCGUAGAUAUUCGCAAGAACACCGGUGGCGAAGGCGGCUCACUGGCCCGGUACUGACGCUGAGGUGCGAAAGCGUGGGGAGCAAACAGG